AUUGAACGCUGGCGGCAUGCCUUACACAUGCAAGUCGAACGGCAGCACGGGGCAACCUGGUGGCGAGUGGCGAACGGGUGAGUAAUGCAUCGGAACGUACCUUUCAGUGGGGGAUAACGUAGCGAAAGUUACGCUAAUACCGCAUAUUCUGUGAGCAGGAAAGCAGGGGACCGCAAGACCUUGCGCUGAUUGAGCGGCCGAUGUCAGAGUAGCUAGUUGGUGAGGUAAAGGCUCACCAAGGCGACGAUCUGUAGCGGGUCUGAGAGGAUGAUCGGCCAGACGGGAACGCAGACACAGUCGAGACUCCUAAGUGAGGCAGCAGUGAGGAAUGUUGGGAAAUGGGGGCAGCGCCUAUCCCGCCAGGCCGCGUGAGAGAGGAAGGCGUUCGGGUUCGAAAGCUAUUUCGGCCGGAAAGAAAUCGCACGGGCUAAUACCCUGUGUGGAUGACGGUACCGGAAUAAGAAGCACCGGCUAACUACGUGCCAGCAGCCGCGGUAACAC
rnacentral:rRNA from 1 species